rnacentral:rRNA from 1 species
AUUGAACGCUGGCGGCAGGCCUAACACAUGCAAGUCGAGCGGAUGAAGAGAGCUUGCUCUCUGAUUCAGCGGCGGACGGGUGAGUAAUGCCUAGGAAUCUGCCUGGUAGUGGGGGACAACGUUUCGAAAGGAACGCUAAUACCGCAUACGUCCUACGGGAGAAAGUGGGGGAUCUUCGGACCUCACGCUAUCAGAUGAGCCUAGGUCGGAUUAGCUAGUUGGUGGGGUAACGGCUCACCAAGGCGACGAUCCGUAACUGGUCUGAGAGGAUGAUCAGUCACACUGGAACUGAGACACGGUCCAGACUCCUACGGGAGGCAGCAGUGGGGAAUAUUGGACAAUGGGCGAAAGCCUGAUCCAGCCAUGCCGCGUGUGUGAAGAAGGCCCUCGGGUCGUAAAGCACUUUAAGCUGGGAGGAAGGGUUGUAACCUAAUACGUUGCAGCUUUGACGUUACCAGCAGAAUAAGCACCGGCUAACUCUGUG